GGCUGUUUCAGGGUGUCAUCACCUUAAAAGGGGGCCAAAGGGGCUGCAAGGUAAAUUGGUGAUGCAAGUCUGAGAUAUCUAAUUCCUCAGGUAAAGAGAGUCAGGUAUUACAGAAACGUCAAGCGUUAUCAAGAUGUCAUCCAAGGGGAUAAAGGUAUGUCUCGAAGAUAUUUCAAGUGUGGUUCCAGACCAUCACAAGAAAGUGAACAUCACAAUAAAAUGAAUCACAUGAAGAUUUUGAA